rnacentral:rRNA from 1 species
GAUGAACGCUGGCGGCGUGCCUAAUACAUGCAAGUCGAGCGAACGGACGAGAAGCUUGCUUCUCUGAUGUUAGCGGCGGACGGGCGAGUAACACGUGCAUCACCUACCUAUAAGACUGGGAUAACUUCGGGAAACCGUAUCUAAUACCGGAUAAUAUUUUGAACCGCAUGGUUCAAAAGUGAAAGACGGUCUUGCUGUCACUUAUAGAUGGAUCCGCGCUGCAUUAGCUAGUUGGUAAGGUAACGGCUUACCAAGGCAACGAUGCAUAGCCGACCUGAGAGGGUGAUCGGCCACACUGGAACUGAGACACGGUCCAGACUCCUACGGGAGGCAGCAGUAGGGAAUCUUCCGCAAUGGGCGAAAGCCUGACGGAGCAACGCCGCGUGAGUGAUGAAGGUCUUCGGAUCGUAAAGCUCUGUUAUUAGGAAAGAACAGAUGUGUAAGUAACUGUGCACAUCUUGACGGUACCUAAUCAGAAAGCAACGGCUAACUACGUG